UGUGGGAUGGGAUAUUGGCAUUGAGUGGGGUAAGGUUGAUUAGGUUUUAAUGGGAUGGUAGGGGGUGCAUGAUCGGUCGCCAAGGAGGGAGUAGAGAUGUCCUAUACUUGUGGGUUAAGGUGGGGAUAACUUAAAAGGAGUGCACAAAAGAAUGUUGUCCGAGUUGGCACCAGAGAUGGGGAGUUUUAAGAGGUUUAGAAGUCUGGCCGUCAACACCCACAACAGUAAUGGAGGCAAGGGAAACAGGCCCUUGAAAAGAAGGUAAUGUGGAGUGGAUAGCCUCCGUAUUGAUGAAGAAGGGGAUGGACUUACUG
rnacentral:lncRNA from 1 species